rnacentral:rRNA from 1 species
CAACAAAUGCCCUGCUUCCAGGAAAAGCCUCUAAGCAUCAGGUAACAUCAAAUCGUACCCCAAACCGACACAGGUGGUCAGGUAGAGAAUACCAAGGCGCUUGAGAGAACGCGGGUGAAGGAACUAGGCAAAAUGGUGCCGUAACUUCGGGAGAAGGCACGCUGAUACGUAGGUGAAGCGACUUGCUCGUGGAGCUGAAAUCAGUCGAAGAUACCAGCUGG